UUUUUCUCGCAACCCGUACGUUAAACCCUCGGUUAAAACUAAUUUCACUAGUAGUACGCUAUAGUAUUAUUAGCCCCUAAUAAGAUUGGCGCACCAUAGGCGAAGUUAGAUUUAACGUACGGAAAAAUUCAAUCUCAAUAGUCCCCUAUUUUGGUUUUCAUUUUGAUUAGUGAUACAAUUAUUAUAUAAAUCAUACAUUUCUUUACAGUACGCUGCCAACAUUAUCCGGAACCGAACGAAUAAUAAUCGAAAACAACGGCCCUAGAAAAUGAUGAAAAUGUUUGAUGCCAGCAUAUAUUAAAUAAUCAAAAUAAAACUAUAAUUAUUCUACCAAAAACGGGUUUUUGUAUUAUUCUCGAAAAUAAUAAGAAUAAAAUUAUUAAAAACAUUGGAUUUGAACAGCGAAAACAUUCAUUUUCAAAGCUUUUUCUGUUUCAAACAAAGAACAAUACUUUUCGAAUUCAAUACCAUAGCAUUUAAAAUACAAUGCGAAAAACUGUUGUUAUCAAGUAUAAUAACACUUGACUUGAAAGUGUUUCGCUGUUGAAACUAAUAUGUUGCCCGGUGAGUUGCUGAAAGUGUUUCACACUCGAGUCUCACAUGUUUGACCAGUAGGACAAAUCAAAGGGCGAAACACUUUAUAGUCGCGUGUGUAUUUUUUUGAGUGUAGAUUAUUGUAUAUACCCAUCGUGUUUGAAUAAAAGAGAGCUGCAGCUGUUGGCAGAAGUAUCAGUCAGUAGCCUGCCGUGGAAUGGAACUGCCCAACAGGUUAUGGGUCCAGGAACGAUUCCCGUUCUCCAUCUUAGAAAAAAAACUAUGGUAAAAUGCCCAAUAGUGGACCCCCUAGUAGCGGAAUAUUGUUUUUCCUGUCAUAAAUAGUAGAAAUUUUCAACAUAAAUGAUAAACCUACUUGAUAUCUAAUAACAAGUUCUGUAUAUCCUCUUCAUGAUACAUACAUAAAACACUCAAAUACACGACGUUAUUGUCGUGAUUUGACGCCCAAAUUGGUUUACCUUGCCGGUAGCAUUGCGCUACUUAUCUAAUAAGAGGGGUUUCACUACCAGCCAGAAAAUCAUUGACAUCAACUCUUGGCCCUAAAAAGGACCAUUUUUUUGCAACUCGUUGAACACCGCGCCGCAUCUUGUUAGCCUCCGAUCCAAACUGCCGCUCUCCGCAUUUGUUCCGCCGAACGAACGAAUGGCCCACGACACGAUUUAACGUGUUGAAACACGGGAUUCCUUCCGUGUUUGCGUCCUGCUGUCCGAUCCAGGCUGCUGCAGCUCCAAUGCGAUGCGUCGACUAUCGCGUCCGUGUGAAGAAUGAGUUAACCAGUGUAAUGCACCUUCUUUUAUUGACGAGGCAGCAUACACUGAAAAAAAAUCUGUAGUAACCACAACUACUCAGUUGCGUUCAAAUCUACCAUGGGCGUGUAUGACAACAUAAUGGUAAAAUAAACUAUAAGUGUUUUUAUAACACCUGAUUCAUAGUAGUGUGAACUGCACACGUGAUGUGAGAUCCAUAGUAAAACUAACCAUCAAUUGCAGUAGACACAGUCAGUUCUGCCGAACAGCCAGCCAAAGAAAAAUUGCAAACCUAAAAAACCUAAAUUAGAUGGUACGAUCACUCUUAAUAAGGGAUUUGAAACAAAUCAAGUAAUUCAACAUUUAUCGAUUCAAAUUUGGUAACUUAUCGACGAAUGCAGCAACACCGAAUUAAACUUGGAAUUAAAUCAAGUUUAUCGAGUACAUAAUAUUAUGUGCGAGAUUAUGUGUAAGAACGAAAUCCUUCAUUUGUGUGACGAAACGACGAUGAGAGAAACAAUGUUGUUCAAUUGAUUCCAGAAAAAAGUAUACGCAGAAUAUCAACCGAAAAUAUUAUCAUGGAAGUCCACUCCUCCGUGUCAAUGGAAAAGAUGCAGUCAAUGGAAAAGAUGCAAUGAAAAAGGUCCAGUUUCAGCCGAAGUUCCUGCUGAUUGUCCACUGGCGUUCAAAUAAUCCAUCUCCCAGUUCCUGAAUUCGCACGAGACGGCACAAGAUUAGUUUAGUGUUAUCAAAGUGUUAUCAAAAUUAUGUUUUCUUCCUUUCGCAUAAUUAAAAUCGGAAAUUAUCAAACAUUAUUAAACAAACGCAUAGUAUUUUCUCACCAUAUUAUAGU